rnacentral:rRNA from 1 species
UACAGAGGGUGCAAGCGUUGUUCGGAAUUAUUGGGCGUAAAGCGCGUGUAGGCGGCUUGGCAAGUCGGGUGUGAAAGCCCUCAGCUCAACUGAGGAAGUGCGCCCGAAACUGCUGAGCUUGAGUGCCGGAGAGGAUGGCGGAAUUCCCGAAGUAGAGGUGAAAUUCGUAGAUAUCGGGAGGAACACCGGUGGCGAAGGCGGCCAUCUGGACGGACACUGACGCUGAGACGCGAAAGCGUGGGUAGCAAACAGG